rnacentral:rRNA from 1 species
GACGAACGCUGGCGGCGUGCUUCAUACAUGCAAGUCGAACGAGAAGCUGACUUCGGUCAGUGGAAAGUGGCGGACGGGUGAGUAAUAUGUAGGAAAUCUGCCUUUAGGAGGGGGACAUCAGAGGGAAACUUCUGCUAAUACCCCAUAUGAGCGUAGCUGAAAUGCUAUUCUUGAAAACUCCGGUGCCUAAAGAUGAGCCUGCAUCUGAUUAGCUAGUUGGUAGUGUAAUGGACUACCAAGGCGACGAUCAGUAGCUGGUUUGAGAGGAUGAUCAGCCACAAUGGGACUGAGACACGGCCCAUACUCCUACGGGAGGCAGCAGUAGGGAAUUUUGCGCAAUGGGCGAAAGCCUGACGCAGCAACGGCGCGUGAACGAUUAAGCCCUUCGGGGUGUAAAGUUCUGUCAGUGGGGACGAAACUUGACGGUACCCACAGAGGAAGCACCGGCUAACUCCGUG